CCUACGGGUGGCAGCAGUGAGGAAUAUUGGUCAAUGGACGGAAGUCUGAACCAGCCAUGCCGCGUGCAGGAAGACGGCUCUCUGAGUGUUAAACUGCUUUUGUACAAGGGUAAACCUGAAUACGUGUAUUCAGCUGAAAGUACUGUACGAAUAAGGAUCGGCUAACUCCGUGACAGGAGCCGCGGUAAUACGGAGGAUCCAAGCGUUAUCAGGAUUUCUUGGGUUGAAAGGGUGGGUAGGCGGAUUGAUAAGUUAGAGGUGAAAUGUCCGAGAUUAACUCUGGGACUGCCUUUAAUACUGUUGAUCUGGAGUGUAGAUGCGGUAGGCGGAAUGUAUGGUGUAGCGGUGAAAUGCGUAGAGAU
rnacentral:rRNA from 1 species